AUGGGUAAGGCGGAAAUUGGUUUACGCGAGUAUUUUAGGCAUACUUGAUUUUUUAUCGUGUGAGUUCAAGUCUCACUAUCCAUA